UCAUCAGGAGCACAAGAAGGGUUCCUUCAAAACCCUAAAACCCACAAAUUCAACAAAAUCAAAGGGAAAUAGAGCUAGAGAAUUGGGGCUUUAACUAAAUUCGUGAUCACCUCAGUAAAGGGAUCAUAAGACAAAGGAAUCGAGUCUUUAAGCGGACAAACCGGAGUGGACACGCGCUUGAAGGGAAUGCUUUAAAGGAAAUAACAUAUGUUGCGUUGCUCUAAUUACAAAAUUUAAAGCAAGAGGUAUAUAAACGGGUCAAUGCUAUGACCCGAGCCAGGUACUUUUUGGAUACCGGAAGACGAUCAAGCUCAGCGAAGAACCGAACACGAUAA
rnacentral:lncRNA from 1 species